AACGAACGCUGGCGGCAGGCUUAACACAUGCAAGUCGAACGAGAUCUUCGGAUCUAGUGGCAGACGGGUGGGGAACACGUGGGAACAUCCCUUUCAGUUCGGAAUAACGUUGGGAAACUAACGCUAAUACCGGAUACGUCCUUCGGGAGAAAGAUUUAUCGCUGAAAGAUUGGCCCGCGUCUGAUUAGCUAGUUGGUGAGGUAAUAGCGCACCAAGGCUAGGAUCAGUAGAUGAUCUGAGAGGAUGAUCAGCCACAUUGGGACUGAGACACGGCCCAAACUCCUACGGGAGGCAGCAGUGGGGAAUAUUGGACAAUGGGCGCAAGCAUGAUCCAGCCAUGCCGCGUGAGUGAUGACGGCCGUCGGGUUGUAAAGCUCUUUUGUCCGGGAAGAUAAUGACUGUACCGGAAGAAUAAGCCCCGGCAAACUUCGUGCCAGCCGCCGCCGUAA
rnacentral:rRNA from 1 species